AUCAAAAACCUCAAGUCCUUCAUCAUCAGGAAAAUAACACAACAAGGACUUCGUUGAUCAGUCUCUUGGAUCAGACUUCAAGAAGAACUACAAAAUGACUAGGCCAAAAAAAAUUAGAUCCAUAACGGC